rnacentral:lncRNA from 1 species
CUAAAGCCUAGACCUGCUGCUAAUAUUUAUUAUUAAGUAAAGCCACAGGACAGCAACAAGUGAUAUAAAAACACGUAACAGAGGAUAUUUACUCCUUGAUUAUAAGCUUUUAUAUACCUAAUGCAGAGAUUUGAAAUAAUCUCUUGAACAGUGAAUUUAAAGAGAGCUGCACGUUUGAUAAUUUUUUUGUUGUUGUUUUGUGUUUUUUUUUUCUUUCCAUCAAGUAGAUUGCCUGUAUUUUUCAUUCCUAUUCACCACUCCUGAAGGAUCGAAAAUACUAAUAAACGUCAUGGAAACCACUGUGAGAUCUCCAUGGUGAUAUUGGUUGUGUAUAUGCUGCAGGGAAACUGUUCUGUACACUUGGGACUGCUGGUCGAGGCUGCACACCCUGGCCCUGCCUGACACUGACUCAAGGGAACUUUAGAAAACAUCAUCCCUGUGUUCUUUGAGAGGAAAAAUGGUCUUGCCAAAUGUUGAUGUACUCCAUUAACCCACUUUGUCAGAUGAUGACUGAGGAAUUUGGGGAGGAAAGUCUGAAGUGCAUCGUGACACUGCUCAGCUUGCAGGUGUCCAAUGCAAAGAUGAGGUCAACCCUGGAGAGUGUGGCACCACUCUGCACUCACACAACAUCCAUGGGAACUGGUGAGCACCAACAAAGUGCAGAGGUAUUUCAUACUUCUCCCUAUUGUGAGCUUCUGGGCUGUUUUGUUUUGUUCUGUUUUCCUUUUAUGUUCUUUUAAUAGAUCCCUAGGCCUUUCAUCACUAAUGCAGAACUAGACAAAACAAGUGGGAAGGAUUAUAUGAAAUUUGAUCAACAGCAACAAAAGGCCAAUGUAACUGGGGGGUUACUGCUCUGCUUGUGAUGUUUAAACUUUUGUGACAAGCAGAGGCUUAAUUUACACUGGGAUUUCCUGCAUGAUUUACAAAGUAGGAGUGAAACCCCUUAUAUCCAUUCUGAUAGAUCUCCCCCCUCAUCCAUCAGUGCUGACAGUGCUAAUCUGUGAAGAAUUAGUGACCUAGAAGUUCAAGUCAGCUAUUCCCUUCGUCUGGAUAUAACACUAUUCAUGGUAACUGCAUAUUAGAGGUUCCAACAAAUGUCAGUGUGCAAUGUGAAGAAAAAUGACCGAUUGUACAUUUUUUGCAUGAGAAAGUGGUUUAGAACAAAAAGCC